AUGGCUCAUUAAAUCAGUUAUUGUUUAUUUGAUAGUACCUUACUACUUGGAUAACCGUGGUAAUUCUAGAGCUAAUACAUGCUAAAAGCCCCGACUUCGGAAGGGGUGUAUUUAUUAAAUAAAAAACCAAUGCCCUUUGGGGCUCCUUGGUGAUUCACAAUAACUUAACGAAUCGCAUGGCCUUGUGCCGGCGAUGGUUCAUUCAAAUUUCUGCCCUAUCAACUUUCGAUGGUAGUGUAUUGGACUACCAUGGUUUCAACGGGUAACGGGGAAUUAGGGUUCUAUUCCGGAGAGGGAGCCUGAGAAACGGCUACCACAUCCAAGGAAGGCAGCAGGCGCGCAAAUUACCCAAUCCCGACACGGGGAGGUAGUGACAAUAAAUACUGAUACAGGGCUCUUUUGGGUCUUGUAAUUGGAAUGAGUACAAUUUAAAUCCCUUAACGAGGAACAAUUGGAGGGCAAGUCUGGUGCCAGCAGCCGCGGUAAUUCCAGCUCCAAUAGCGUAUAUUAAAGUUGUUGCAGUUAAAAAGCUCGUAGUUGAACCUUGGGCCUGGCUGGCCGGUCCGCCUCAUCGCGUGCACUGGUCCGGCCGGGCCUUUCCUCCUGGAGAGCCGCAUGCCCUUCGCUGGGUGUGUCGGGGAACCAGGACUUUUACUUUGAAAAAAUUAGAGUGUUCAAAGCAGGCCUAUGCUCGAAUACAUUAGCAUGGAAUAAUAGAAUAGGACGUGUGGUUCUAUUUUGUUGGUUUCUAGGACCGCCGUAAUGAUUAAUAGGGAUAGUCGGGGGCAUCAGUAUUCAAUUGUCAGAGGUGAAAUUCUUGGAUUUAUUGAAGACUAACUACUGCGAAAGCAUUUGCCAAGGAUGUUUUCAUUAAUCAAGAACGAAAGUUAGGGGAUCGAAGACGAUCAGAUACCGUCGUAGUCUUAACCAUAAACUAUGCCGACUAGGGAUCGGGCGAUGUUAUUUUUUGACUCGCUCGGCACCUUACGAGAAAUCAAAG
rnacentral:rRNA from 1 species